UACGUAGGGGGCAAGCGUUAUCCGGAAUUACUGGGUGUAAAGGGUGAGUAGGCGGCAUGAUAAGUAAGAUGUGAAAGCCCGCAGCUUAACUGCGGGAUUGCAUUUUAAACUAUUGAGCUAGAGUACAGGAGAGGAAAGCGGAAUUCCCAGUGUAGCGGUGAAAUGCGUAGAUAUUGGGAAGAACACCAGUGGCGAAGGCGGCUUUCUGGACUGAAACUGACGCUGAGGCACGAAAGCGUGGGGAGCGAACAGGAUUAGAUACCCUGGUAGUCCACGCCGUAAACGAUGAGUGCUAGGUGUCGGAGGGGAACCUUCGGUGCCGCAGCAAACGCAAUAAGCACUCCACCUGGGGAGUACGAUCGCAAGAUUGAA
rnacentral:rRNA from 1 species